CCUGAUAUGAUGAUUCUAACUUUGACUUUCGUUCUUCUGAGAUUAUCUGAAGUAACUGAUCAAAUCUGAUGUGG